rnacentral:rRNA from 1 species
AGAGUUUGAUCAUGGCUCAGGACGAACGCUGGCGGCGUGCUUAACACAUGCAAGUCGAACGGAAAGGCCCUUCGGGGUACUCGAGUGGCGAACGGGUGAGUAACACGUGGGUGAUCUGCCCUGCACUCUGGGAUAAGCCUGGGAAACUGGGUCUAAUACCGGAUAGGACCGCAUGCUUCAUGGUGUGUGGUGCAAAGCUUUUGCGGUGUGGGAUGAGCCCGCGGCCUAUCAGCUUGUUGGUGGGGUAAUGGCCUACCAAGGCGACGACGGGUAGCCGGCCUGAGAGGGUGACCGGCCACACUGGGACUGAGAUACGGCCCAGACUCCUACGGGAGGCAGCAGUGGGGAAUAUUGCACAAUGGGCGCAAGCCUGAUGCAGCGACGCCGCGUGAGGGAUGACGGCCUUCGGGUUGUAAACCUCUUUCAGUAGGGACGAAGCGAAAGUGACGGUACCUACAGAAGAAGGACCGGCCAACUACGUGCCAGCAGCCGCGGUAAUACGUAGGGUCCGAGCGUUGUCCGGAAUUACUGGACGUAAAGAGCUCGUAGGUGGUUUGUCGCGUUGUUCGUGAAAACUCACAGCUUAACUGUGGGCGUGCGGGCGAUACGGGCAGACUAGAGUACUGCAGGGGAGACUGGAAUUCCUGGUGUAGCGGUGGAAUGCGCAGAUAUCAGGAGGAACACCGGUGGCGAAGGCGGGUCUCUGGGCAGUAACUGACGCUGAGGAGCGAAAGCGUGGGCAGCGAACAGGAUUAGAUACCCCGGUAGUCCAA